rnacentral:rRNA from 1 species
AGAGUUUGAUCAUGGCUCAGAUUGAACGCUGGCGGCAGGCCUAACACAUGCAAGUCGAGCGGAAACGAUGGUAGCUUGCUACCAGGCGUCGAGCGGCGGACGGGUGAGUAACGCGUGAGAAUCUGCCCAUUUGUGGGGGAUAACUCGGGGAAACUCGAGCUAAUACCGCAUAAUCCCUACGGGGGAAAGCAGGGGACCUUCGGGCCUUGUGCAGAUGGAUGAGCUCGCGUCGGAUUAGCUUGUUGGUGAGGUAAAGGCUCACCAAGGCGACGAUCCGUAGCUGGUCUGAGAGGAUGAUCAGCCACACCGGGACUGAGACACGGCCCGGACUCCUACGGGAGGCAGCAGUGGGGAAUCUUGGACAAUGGGGGCAACCCUGAUCCAGCCAUGCCGCGUGUGUGAAGAAGGCCUUCGGGUUGUAAAGCACUUUCAGUAGGGAGGAAGGCUUACCGCUAAUAACGGUGAGUACUUGACGUUACCUACAGAAGAAGCACCGGCUAAUUUCGUGCCAGCAGCCGCGGUAAUACGAAAGGUGCGAGCGUUAAUCGGAAUUACUGGGCGUAAAGCGCGCGUAGGCGGUUUGUUAAGUCAGAUGUGAAAGCCCCGGGCUCAACCUGGGAAUUGCAUUUGAAACUGGCAGGCUAGAGUGCAGUAGAGGGAGGUGGAAUUUCCGGUGUAGCGGUGAAAUGCGUAGAGAUCGGAAGGAACACCAGUGGCGAAGGCGGCCUCCUGGACUGACACUGACGCUGAGGUGCGAAAGCG